rnacentral:rRNA from 1 species
UACGUAGGUGGCAAGCGUUGUUCGGAAUUACUGGGCGUAAAGCGCGCGUAGGCGGCUCUUCAAGUCAGGCGUGAAAGCCCCGAGCUUAACUCGGGAACUGCGCUUGAUACUGUCGAGCUAGAGUGUGGAAGGGGCGAUUGGAAUUCCGUGUGUAGCGGUGAAAUGCGUAGAGAUCCGGAGGAACACCGACGGCGUAGGCAGCGCCCUGGACGACACCUGACGCUGAGGCACGAAAGCUGGGGGAGCGAACAGG